GACCGCUGAGACGGGUGCAAUGCCAGACGGUGGAGGACCGACGGUGUAAUCGACCGAUGCCAUUGGGAACUGUCAACGCGCGCAAAGGAGAAACGGAGAGAAGAAAAGUGCGUGUGUGACACACAGGGGAGGCGCGUUUUUUAGCAAGUCACCAUUUUACCAAAACAAAGUGUGAAUCUUGCGCGAAGUUAGUUUUCGGAGUUUGCGAGAGAAAAGUGGGUUAAAGCUGUGGAAGUUUAAUUUUAUUGAAAUUAAAACACGAGCACACCUCAGCGAAGGGAGCAACAGAAACUGCACCGUCGUCGCCUACCGUCACUGAACGCUACAUUGGACAGUGUCGGUAGUUUGAAGUGGAACGAAGGAAGAGGAAGAGGAAGAAGUAGGAGGAGAUAGAGGAAAUCGUUGGAAAGGAAGACUAAUUAAUUUUGUAGCUGUCGAAAACGACUGCUGACAGAAAGUUAGUUUUUUACUGACAAUCACCCGAACAAACUACAAAAUUAAUUACGGGUCCAGUAAUCCUCUCCACGAUGGCCGACGAAACAACAUUCUGCGGUGCGUGUGGACUCUUCUUCGACAACGUGGAUCGGAUAAUCACCUGCGGCAGAUGCGACAUGAUUUACCACUCACGCUGCGUGGACGCAACGGCGGCGGAAAAUGAGUGGUGCUGCCCGGAAGGUUGUUGGUGCGAAGAGGACAAAGAAGCCCAAAGCAACAACAAUAACGACGGUUCUACGAACUCAUCCGAAGAAGCAAGCGAGAUGCCAGAUGCGGCGACCGAACCGGAAAAGCCGGAGGUCGUCAAGGUAGCGUUGGAUCAGCAUGCGGAGCAGUUCGAUGCUGAACGUUGGA